GGCACUGUCGGAUUGACAGCUGAGCCAUUUGAGAGCCCAUGACUUGGCUGUUUUAGAAGAUGUGAUGCAUUGGCCUCCCCCUGCAGGAGUUGGGAACGCGCAGAUUCCGCGAAUCACAGUUUUCAGAUAUGGCUGAAAUUGAUAACCCAAGUGAGCAGCUCAGGGAUCAGGACCUGAGGUUUUCAGCACAAACGACAAGAGGUUCAAGUAGAAAAGCAGAAGCGGAACAUGCAAUAUGCAGCCCGUGCCUGGCUUCCCUCACUCAGCUUGACGAAAUCACAGAACAGAUUGUUCUCAAGGAGGCCCCCGUGGUGUUUUCCGGAGCUCCUCUGCCAGGUCUCCAGUUGCGGCAGGGUCCACGUCGCCCCUCCCCUUGGCUCUGGGUUGGCCUUGUCACCAACGUAGGUGGUGGGGCCACAUGGUGCCACCUGCUCCCUCUGCACACCUCUGGGCCCACCAGGUCCUAGUGGGCUGGCAUCUGCUGCGGGGGCUCUGGUGUGGGUGGAAACACUGGGUCCCCCCAGGCUCCUCCUCAUCCCCUGCUCCCAACUUCUUCCUCCAUCCCCCAACAGCCCUCAGAGCUCAAGGGAGGGGGCAUUGACAAAGGGUCUCCACCAGCCUGGUCCUCUUAGCUUUUCUGGUCUAUGAGCUCAGGCAAAAUGGCCAGGCAGGCCCCAGGCCACCUCAGCCCAGCUUAGCCCAGUCCACUCUAGCUUAGUUCAGCCUAGCCCAGUGCAACCCUGUUCACCUCAGUCCAGCCCAGCCAAGCUCAUCCCAGCCCACCUCAGUCCAGCCCAGCACAGCCCAGCCCAGCCCAGGUUAGCCCAGCCAAGCCUAGUUCAACCCAGUUCAGCCCAGCCCAGCCUAGCUCAGCCCAGCCAAGCUCAGCCCAGUUCAGCUCAGCCCAGCUCAGCCCAGCCAAGCUCAGCCCAGCUCAGCCUAGCCCAGUCUAGCUCAGCCCAGCCCAGCUCAGCCCAGCCCAGCUCAGCCUAGUCCAGUCUAGCUCAGCCCAGCCCAGCUCAGCCCAGCCCAGCUCAGCCUAGUCCAGUCUAGCUCAGCCCAGCCCAGCUCAGCCUAGCUUAGCCAAGUUCAGCCCAGCUCCCGCCCAGCCCAGCUUAGCCCUGCCCAGUUCAGCCCAGCCCAGCCCAACUCAGCUCAGCCCAGCCCAGCCCAGCUCAGCCCAGCAUGGCCCAGCCCAGGUUAGCCGAGCCAAGCCUGGUUUAACCCAGUUCAGGCCAGCCCAGCCCAGCUCAGCCCAGCCAAGCUCAGCCCAGUUCAGCCCAGCCCAGCCCAGCCCAGCCCUGCCCGGCUCAGCCCAGCCCAGCUCAGCCCAGCACAGCCCAGCCCAGCCCAGGUUAGCCCAGGUUAGCCCAGGUUAGCCCAGCCAAGCCUAGUUCAACCCAGUUCAGCCCAGCCCAGCCCAGCCCAGGUUAGCCCAGGUUAGCCCAGGUUAGCCCAGCCAAGCCUAGUUCAACCCAGUUCAGCCCAGCCCAGCCCAGGUGAGCCCAGCCAAGCCUGGUUCAACCCAGUUCAGCCCAGCCCAGCCUAGCUCAGCCCAGCCCAGUCCAGCCAGCCCAGCUCCAGGUCCAUGACUUCUAAAGCAGGAUGUGCUUUGUGGGUUCAAGCUUGUGGCAUUUGGGGAAUCACAUAUGGGGGCCUCGAGGCAGAGCAGAGAGGACUUGCAGGACUGUGCAGCUGACAGGAUUUGACAUAGAGACAACUGUGGAAACCCGAGUGUGGAAGGCGUGACUCUGGGUCUCAGCAGCCACCUGCUGGGCAGAUUACACCAGCAGCGCCCCACCGUGGGGCCAGGCGCAGGUCACGGCCAGUGCUGGGAUGUCCUGCAAAAAAUCCGGGUUGACCACACACCACCCAGGUCAGCACGUGGUCCCCAUGGUUGCUGGAGGCAGCUCAGGCUCCAGAGCACUGACUGUGUGCAUCGCUCUCGCUCCACGUUCUAAGCCCUAACACCAGUGGUUUGCAACCAGCCACGGUGGGAGUGUGUGCGGAUGCUGCAGACCAGCCCUGCCCCUUCUGAGAGUCCCUUGUUAAGCAAUUACCAGCACAUUGCUGACUGGCCGAGUCACUAACAUACUAGGGUAUUUUGAUGUUCCCCCCAGAGGACUCUCUGCCCCAUUCCUGUCCAUGCUGGGGUACUGGUUGGCACAGGGGAAGGUGGCACCUGGCUGUGGGCUGCAGGUGGUACAGAAACCUGUGCUCCCCGCGAGGAGCUGGAGUUGGAGCUGGCCACGUGUGGCAUCAUCUGUUGGAAGGCAUUGGAGACCUUGACUAGGAGCAGCCCCUGAGUGGCCUGACUGCUGGACCAGCUGCAAGCUGAGUCCUAGCCCUCGAGGAGUGGGGCCCCCAUCAUCCAGGACCUGGCGCCCGCAUCUGCAGAGGGCUGGGCUCCAUGCUGGGGCCAGAACACAGGGAGCAUGAAGGACUCAGAGACCCGCCUGCGGCCAUAGCACAGGGUAGCCAGCAGGGGACAGCUGGGCCGAGGGGGUGCCGGACGCAGGUGCCAGCCGCCUAGCAGGGCCCUCUUUCUGUCCUCUAUUCAAGGUGGCAGUCUGAAAGACCCCCCCACCCAGACAGCCCUCUGCGAUCUGCGAAGUGAGCAGAGCUGCAUGUGCUGCUCAUCCUUCACCCCUUCAUUCAUUCACUUGGAAGCACCCAGUGAGCACUGUGAAGUCGUGGGCGCUGGUCCAGUGGUGACUGAGGGCAGUGGUGGGUGCCAGGUCCAGUGGUGACCGAGGGCAGUGUCCUCAGGGACUCACGGUUGGCUGUCCUUAGGGACUCACGGUUGGCUGUGGGGACACAGUGGUGUGCACCGGGUCCAGCGGUGACCGAGGGCAGUGGUGGGUGUCGGGUCCAGUGGUGACCGAGGGCAGUGGUGGGCGACGUGUCCAGUGGCGACCGAGGGCAGUGGUGGGUGCUGGGUUCAGUGGUGACCGAGGGUGUCAGUCCUCAGGUAGUCACAGUUAGCUGUGGGGACACAGUGGUGUAUGCCAGGUCCAGUGGUGACCGAGGGCAGUGGUGGGCGCUGGUCCAUUGGUGACCAAGGGUACUCGUCUUCAGGGACUCACAGCUGGGGGGGCACCAAUGAGCAAAGAAAGAAGAAAGAACAAAAGGAAGAUGGGUGGGUGCAGCACAUGCUGCUGGGGCCAGGAGGAGCCUCACCCUGUUGUUCCAGGCCCGGCACCCCCAGCCUGUUCCGGGAAAACUGUCUGGCAAGGCAGGCCUGACCUUGCCCAGGCCACGCUGGCCCCUCUCCCUCUGAACCUCGUGGCUCAUGGCCCAGGACCCGAUGGCAGCGAGCCCAUGGGGGUGAGCCUGGGAAGGAUGCUCUGUGUGGAUGGGGAGUGGCAGGGGCAGGAUUGUGGUCUGGGCUUAGGAGGGGGAGUCCUGCGUGCCCCGGGGAGGCUGACUUUUCGGCAUUAGAAGGAAAUUUGCCUUGAAAAAGAACCUGGGACAGUGCCUGAAAGACACAACUGGGAGGGUCCGAGGCUGGCCAACCCCAGAACUGAGUUCUUGGCCAGCUGCCCAGGGCACCUGGCUUGGUAGGAGGCUGGAGAGGCACUAGAGCCCGCUGAGGAUGUCCGGCCCUCGCACUCUCUGGCUGCCCUGGGUGCACCCACCUGCCAAAUGCAGACUUCUCAGCACCCCUCAAGCCUGCCUGAUUCCCCUGCUGGGAAGAGCACGCCAGCACUCCUGACCUGGAGCUGUCCUUCUCAGCACGUGGUCUCAGAGAGCGGGCGGUGGGUGAGACCAUGCGGGGGUCGUUGGGUAUAAAAUGGAUUGAUCUUGAGCUGUGGUUCAUCUCCGUGAGCACCAGAGCGUGGAGCUAAAAGAUGGCUUCAUCUACGGAGGACAAAAUUUACUUUCAAUAUCUCACUUUAUGGGGGAUAUGAACUGUGAGUUUAGGAGCCAAGUCCAGCAUGCUAAAAAUCUUCCAAGCUGUUUCAUUUUCUUAUCUCCAAGGAACCGGUGAGAAUAUGUGGGUAAGUAUUGGAAUCUGACACGUACAGCUCAUAGGCAGAUGGGAUCCUUCAAGGUGGUUUAGACGCGUCCUCUGGGCUGGCAGCAAAUCACUUCUGGGCUCCACUGUUUGCCACCUUUGCUGUGGAACACAGCGGAACCUGCAGCAUCUGGGCUGGGAUUGGACUUCAGAGGGUGCACAUGUGGUUUUUGUGGGCAGUUUUUCUCAGUGGCCUUUUUAUUGAGGAAUAACAUACAUACGGAAAGGUUCCCAAAUCAUAGAUGUAUGGCUUGAUGCAUUUUAAAAAGUGGACACACCCUGAAACUUCCAUCCAGACAAAGAGACAUGGUGUUUGCAGCACCCCAUCUCGCAGGCCCCCUUAGAGGGAACCGCUAUUCUGACUUUCAUGACCGUGAAUGAGGUUUGCCUGGGAUUGAACUUUACAUACAUGAAAUCGUAAGCUAUGGACCCUUUAGUGUCUGGCUUCUUUUGCUCAAGUUAGAUUUGUGAGAUUCGUCUAGAUCAUUAUGGGCAGAAAUUCUUUCUUUCUCCAUGGCUGUCUUCGAUGGUCUGAGUACACUUCUUUUUAAACAAAUUUAAUUUAAUUUUAAGUUCCGGUAUCCGUGUGUGGGACGUGCAGGUUUGUUACAUAGGUAAAUGUGUGCCAUGGUGGUUUGCUGCACCCAUCAGCCCAUCACCCAGGUAUUAAGCCCAGCACACAUUCGCUAUUUAUCCUGCUUGAGGGUCUCUCUCUUCUCACGCAUGAACAGCGUUGUUCUUUUGCAUAGUUCAGGGCUGUGGGGCAUAGUGUGGCCCCGCGUUCAUGUGCGUGUCUCAUGGUGAACACAGGCAGGCGUUGGGCAUAAAUCCAACCAUCACACAUGCAUUGCAAAUAUCUACUCACAGUUUCUGGCUUAGUUUUAAUUCUCUUAACAGUGUCCCUUGAUAAACAGGCAUUCUUAACUUUAACAAAGUCCAAAGUUUCCAUCUUUCCAUUAGUCUUCAGAAAAAUAAGUAGCAUUUAACAAUUCUAUUUUCUAUUUGUGUUACUGGUAUAUUGGGAUACAAUGUUUCAUGCUAACCACAUAUCUUGUGUCUUGCUAAAUUCUCAUAUUAACUGUAACAAUUUAGCUGUAGAUUCUUUUGGAUUUUCUACAUGCACAAUUGUGUUACCUGUAACUAAUUACAGUUUCAUGUCUUUAUUUCCAGUCCCAUACUUUUGCUUUCCUUUCCUACCUUCUCAUCCUGGCCUGGGCCUCCACCACCACAUUUGACAGAAAUGAAAAUAGCAGACUCUUGUCUCAUUCCUGACAUCAGGGGAAAACUUUUGACAUUUUAUCAGGAAGUGUGUUGGCUGUAGGCUUUAGGCUUUUUGAUGAUAUCUGUAUCAUAUUAAGAAAGUUACUUUCUCAGACUUCUUUUACUUUUACAGCCUGGGCAACAGAGCAAGACUCCAUCUCACACACACACACACACACACACAAAGUUAUUUUCUCGGACUUUUUAUCCUGAAGAGUGUUGAAUUUUAUCAAUGCUUUUCCUGAAUUUACUGAGAUUAUUAAAUGGUUUUUCUUUUUUAUUCUUUUAAUGUAAUGCAUUACAUUUGUUGAUUUUCAAAUAUUAAACUAACUCUUUAUUUUUGUAAUGAACCCAA